AGGACCCCGGCACCACCACCACAGCCCCGCCUUAUCCACUGCCGGCAUUCACAAACGGGCAGCGGCGCGCUUGCCGCGGCGUCCGCUCCGCCCGAGCCCAGUAAUGGGGCGAGGCGUCGCGGCGGCGUUCCUGCAUGCCUUGUCGGCCUUGGAGCUAGCCUUGGCGGGGGCGGGCCGAGGCGUCGCGGCAGAGGACGUUAAGCAGACGGGCACGCGCCGCCGGCGCGCUUGCCGUGGGCGUCCGCUUCGCCCGAGCCCAGGAGUGGGCCGAGGGGUCGCGCCGGCGUUCCUACACGCCUUGUCGCCCUUGAAGCUGGCCUUGGCGGACCGAGGCGUCGCGGCGGAGGACGACAAGGCGGCCGACGUGCUCUGUUGGGGCGACGCGUCGCGGCGCUCCGGCUCCAGCAGAUGACGGCAGAGAGCCAGGUGUGGCUUUGUGUCGCCAACAGCCACGAGGUCAUCCGCGCCGGCCACCGUGCCAGGCUGGACCAGCUGCUGCAGCCCCCCUGCGCCGUCGCCGUCGCCGUGGCACAAGAAGCGCGAGUUCCCCCUCGCUAUCGGAGGCUGGGUGUCGUUCUCCAGUGCAGAUUGUCUAAUUGAGUUUCUGAAAGCGUCGUCCACGUCUGCACUUCAUGGGUCCAUACACUGGGAACUUACGCCUGAGAACUUCCUGCUCACCAGAUUGGUUUCAGUUUCUCUGUCUCCAUCGAAGAAGGUCAGCCCUUUGCCUCGAACAGUUUCAUGAUUACACUCAUGACAUGAUUUACAGUACAGUAGUCUCAUGCGUUGAGCUCAUAAUACUGCAGUACGGACAUACAUUUUCCAAGCAUAAAUUAAUGCAGAAGUUAUUGCAACAGGAGGGCCUCUAAUUGUAAUUCAUAUACACAUUUCAGCUCAAUAACCAUAUAACGCAUCUUGCCCGAGCUUGAUACUUCCGACUAUCUCCAUGUCUUUCGGGUCAAAGUUAAGUUAGCUCUAUAUACGAGCAGGCAUUUUAUUCUUUGGGAGCAAGCAAGAAUCAAUAUAUUCUCUCGCAAUAUUAUCUCCUCCUUCCCCUUGUCUUCCUAAUCCCCUGCAGAUGGCAUGACUAGCUAGGUUCAUAACAGUUGUUGUAACUAUCCGUCCGGUCAUGAAUCAACAAUUACAAUUGUUUUGACUUCUACGAUCAGUUCUGCCGCCUAUGUUGUACUGUCGCUGCCAUUUAAAGAUUUAAGUUGUCAGGUGGAUAUAGGUUCCAUUAGAUUGAAAGUAAUGAAAUUUUAUUUGCCAACCUGGCUGCACUUUGUGAUGCUUUAUUUAUGUAUAUACUUAAAGUUCAAAUGUGAUGUAUGCUUUACUCCUUAUUUGAUACUUGCAUUUGUCGCAAGCACCUUGCUGUUCUGAGUAAUGGUUGAUAUCUUACAUUUAGCCGAGAAGCUGAAAACUUACGAGUUGGAAAACCUUCUAGAUAUACCUAAAAAGACCUUGAAGAUAUCUUCUACUAGACUGGACGAGCUGAUUGACUGGCGAUGGAGAUGCAGCAGUGACCUGCAAUUCUUUCUGCUGUGGAUGGUUCAUUUUGAAAUCUUUUUUAUAUCUGACAAGACACAAGAAAACAACAUAUCUAUCCUGUUAUAUUUACCACUAUCAUCUACAGUGAGUGCUAAGUUGCCCAUAAAUUUUAGUUGACUUCUGUUCAGAGUGAUCUGAAAAAUAGAUAGCAUAAAAGAUUAGUGGGUAUUACAUUUAGAUUAGUUACAUUUGGGCAAAUAAAUGAGUAGAAGUCAAUUUUGUUUGCUUGAUGUUUCACUUCUUUGAUCUCUUCAUCAUUCUCAUUUUGUUUCAUUGCUUACCAUUUGUUCGAAAAAAUUUCUAGCAGUGGCAAGCAUGGUUAGGGCGAGCAACGAGGGUUCCUGUAGUGCAUAACCAUUUCAAGUCGCCCAAGUUCUAAAGAGAGAUCAGAAGUGCCAGCUACUGAAGCAAAAAAAAGGACCUGAUACACAUUGUAAUCAUGGACUGCUGAUAUACCUGAUGCAUUUCUUCAUGAUGGUCGAUUUCCUUUCACCGGAUCUUACAUGUUUAAUUAUGUGUGCUCGGAACCAAAAACUGAUUGAGAUCUUCAGUUCUUACUUGCAGAUGUUCUGUUAUUCAGAGUAAUUCAGUUUCCAGUCUCUGUUUAUUAAUCAAAUUAUGGGUUAUUUUCAACCAUAUAGGCUUUUAUUAUAUGUUCAGUUAUGCUUCCAUGGGUUUUGCAUAUGUAUUAACAAAACAACCAGACUGCUAUUCUGUAUAUACUUGGAUCAAAGGGUGUACAAUUAAUUUAAUCUUACGAAAGGAAUGAGUAGGCAGCUAGCAAAAUGGGAGGACAAUCAUGACAAGCGAAGGAACACAUAAAUAGUAAUCCCACAAUUUUUACAACUGCAUUCCACUUUAAUUUGGUAUGGACAUGCAUUUUUAUCCUUGGAGUACUUUGGAUUUUAAGUGGGAAUCAUUGGUUCUUUUCUUCUUAAUAUUUUACUUCUUAUAAUUACAAAUACCAAUUUUAGAGAAUUGAGCUCGUACUUAAAAUUCAAUUGAGUAUGAAGCCACUGCCCAUUGUGUGAAAGAAACAAUUAUAACAUUGUACUCUAACAAAUCACACAUAUAGAGAAAUGUUAUUUUCGAGUCUCCUUAACCUACUGAUCUUUUUUUAGAUAUAUGAAACUUGCAUUUGUUUUCUUAAUUCUUCUGCAAUGCAGGUGAUAUUCCUAAUGGUUGCUGCUGACGCUUAAAAAAUUACUCCUGAAGCACUAGAAGUGCCCUCUCUAUGGCGCAUCACUCACUGGAUCCAGAUGGGCAACAUUCCGCUUCAAGAUUAAAGACUGCAGAAGAAAGGGACAAAAUACCAAAAAGCUGAAAAUUUGAAGAAAGGUGGAAGUAGGGAACUACACAACUUGAUUCAAGGUUACGAAGGGACAAAGGGCAUUGAUUGAGCAGGAGAAAACAAUAAUGGGCCGAGGCAAGGAUAUAGUGCUCAGUUAGUAAAGAGAUAUGUGGGAAGUGGAGCAGCGGGAUGCAAAUGGAAUUUUUGUGACUCACUGAAGGUGAGCAAAACUUUAGAAAAGAAAUUGCAACAGAAGUAGAGCCUCAUCACCAAGAGAGCAUAGGGAUUUUAAGUUUUUUGUAGCCUGCACCGGAGACUGUAGAGUUAAGUUUCUACAUCUCAGUGUACAGUUUAACUAUAUCAGGUUAUUUACUAUGAAGUAAAUAUUUGCUUUUGCCAUUGUUGAUCAUGUCCUUCUCUCUGUGCUUGGAAGCAUAAACUUACUUAGCGAUCCUUUUCUGUUAGGCUAAACUUACAUCCUUCUGCUAAUAGUUUAGUGAUAUAAUGAUUAUAAUGAUUAUUCAAAAGGGACGUUGCAUGUUCCUAGAUGCAUAGCCUUUCUUAUAUAUGUUUUCAUAACACUGGAUUUUUUUAGGGAUAACGCUGGGAUUUUAGUCUUUUUGUUGAAUUCCGAAACUGAAAUCCGAAUAAACCAUAUCUUGAAAGGCCGGCAUAAUGGCACUUCAAAUAAAUGCUAAUCUACACUCACACUGCAGGAUGGUGCCCGUUCUUCUGGUGAUUUGGUCAAAGCUACUACUAAGCAAAGAUAUUUUGCAUGCUAUAAGAACAUGUAGGUUCAUAUCGGGCACCCAUACGAUCCUGCAAAGAAUUUUGACUCACUUUGAUAUAUUAGCAACAACAUCGUUUAAAAUCCAAACGAAUGGCAUACUCCCUGUUAAUUCAAAUGCAGAUACAAACUUUAAGAUUUUCUAAAUAAGAAAAUAUAUUUACAGUCCAAGUGUAGUAAUCUGGGAGUUUGAAAUCAUUUCCCCUUUUUAAAAAGCCAGGGACAUGGAAGUUAAUAUUCACAUACAUGGCAGGGAAGGAUUGAUCUCUCUGCUUAGCAAUGAAUUUGUAGCACCCGAUGAAAACAAAUAUUGUGCAGACCCUAUGGCGUCACUGUGUUAGUAGGCCGUAUUGGCGUUGCAAUCUCUUCUUGGACUAACUAAUGCAUAGGUUAUAAAGCACAUCAAACCUUUUGUAGACCAACAAAUCCAACAUGCUAUGUAGAUCUUGUGUGUACGGAUUAAUCUGAUUGAUGACUGAUGGAAAGCUUCAGGACUUGUAUUCCCCCCUCACCCCAUAUCUGUAGUUUCCUAUGAUUCACUUUCAAAUCUGGAUAUUCUCCUAUAUAUUAACUACUGCAUUGGAGGAAAUUAAAUCACUUGCAAUCUACAAUUAAAGAAUAAUUAAGUGGGACCUUGAGAAACAAUAGUUUGCCAUGGUCUGCAAUGGGGCAGAGCCAAAGAGUUUGACCAGAAUAAAAGUCUGGACAACAAAAUUCAAUGGAGAGAGAUAUCCAUUUGUUACCCACAAAUGAUUAUUUUUUUGUUAGUGCCUCUUCUUCUUUCUUGCCCAUUAUUUAGUUAUAACGUGACAAAAUAAACAUGUUGAUUAUACCCGACUUGCACUGAACAUGAAAUUUUUGUUUAUGCACAAACAUGCGAGUUGUGUAGUACUGUAAGUUGACACUGCAUCGAAACAUAACACACAAUUACAUGUGCGUGUAUAAGGAGAAACUAUACCUGCAGCACACAUCCAUCUAUCUCGGUUUAUGGGAGAACUGGCAAAUUUAUGGUAAUGAAGCAUGUAGCUGAGGUGUGAGACAAAUCUUCCGUAGAGUGUUAAUGUUGUUAGUAGUAAUUAACUUGUCUCCUAGGAGCUAACUGCAGCAACUUACCUUGACUGUUAGAUACAGUAUAGCAUUAUUCAUCUUCAUCCAUGAUUGAUUCUUCUGUUUACUGCAAUUCUUUGACAAUUCUUAGCAUCACACAACCAAAGGUGAGAAGCAAAAAUUUGAAGCACGGAACAAAAAAUUCACAAACCAAUGCAUUUAGUAACCAUCGUGGUUCUUACAGGUCCUUUGCAAUCCAAAUUCCAGUUCUAUGACUUGCAAGGAAGGAUGAAGUCCAUGUCAUGAAAAUUUUAAUAUGUGGUCGCUGCCUCCUCCAGCCAUGGAUUUCAAAGGACCCCGGCACCACCACCACAGCCCCGCCUUAUCCACUGCCGGCCUUCACAAACGGGCAGCGGCGCGCUUGCCGCGGCGUCCGCUCCGCCCGAGCCCAGUAAUGGGGCGAGGCGUCGCGGCGGCGUUCCUGCACGCCUUGUCGGCCUUGGAGCUAGCCUUGGCGGGGGCGGGCCGAGGCGUCGCGGCGGAGGACGUUAAGCAGACGGGCACGCGCCGCCGGCGCGCUUGCCGUGGGCGUCCGCUUCGCCCGAGCCCAGGAGUGGGGCGAGAGGUCGCGCCGGCGUUCCUACACGCCUUGUCGCCCUUGAAGCUGGCCUUGGCGGGCCGAGGCGUCGCGGCGGAGGACGACAAGGCGGCCGGCGUGCUCUGUUGGGGCGACGCGUCGCGGCGCUCCGGCUCCAGCAGAUGACGGCAGAGAGCCAGGUGUGGCUUUGUGUCGCCAACAGCCACGAGGUCAUCGGCGCCGGCCACCGUGCCAGGCUGGACCAGCUGCUGCAGCCCCCCUGCGCCGUUGCCGUCGCCGUGGCACAAGAAGCGCGAGUUCCCCCUCGCUAUCGGAGGCUGGGUGUCGUUCUCUAGUGCAGAUUGUCUAAUUGAGUUUUUGAAAGCGUCGUCCACGUCUGCACUUCAUGGGUCCAUACACUGGGAACUCACGCCUGAGAACUUCCUGCUCACCAGAUUGGUUUCAGUUUCUCUGUCUCCAUCGAAGAAGGUCAGCACUUUGCCUCGAACAGUUUCAUGAUUACACUCAUGACAAGAUUUACAGUACAGUAGUCUCAUGCGUUGAGCUCAUAAUACUGCAGUACGGACAUACAUUUUCCAAGCAUAAAUUAAUGCAGAAGUUAUUGCAACAGGAGGGCCUCUAAUUGUAAUUCAUAUACACAUUUCAGCUCAAUAACCAUAUAACGCAUCUUGCCCGAGUUUGAUACUUCCGACUAUUUCCAUGUCUUUCGGGUCAAAGUUAAGUUAGCUCUAUAUACGAGCAGGCAUUUUAUUCUUUGGGAGCAAGCAAGAAUCAAUAUAUUCUCUCGCAAUAUUAUCUCCUCCUUCCCCUUGUCUUCCUAAUCCCCUGCAGAUGGCAUGACUAGGUAGGUUCAUAACAGUUGUUGUAACUAUCCGUCCGGUCAUGAAUCAACAAUUACAAUUGUUUUGACUUCUACGAUCAGUUCAGCUGCCUAUGUUGUACUGCCGCUGCCAUUUAAAGAUUUAAGUUGUCAGGUGGAUAUAGGUUCCAUUAGAUUGAAAGUAAUGAAAUUUUAUUUGCCAACCUGGCUGCACUUUGUGAUGCUUUAUCUAUGUAUAUACUUGAAGUUCAAAUGUGAUGUAUGCUUUACUCCUUAUUUGAUACUUGCAUUUGUCGCAAGCACCUUGCUGUUCUGAGUAAUGGUUGAUAUCUUACAUUUAGCCGAGAAGCUGAAAACUUACGAGUUGGAAAACCUUCUAGAUAUACCUAAAAAGACCUUGAAGAUAUCUUCUACUAGAAUGGACGAGCUGAUUGACUGGCGAUGGAGAUGCAGCAGUGACCUGCAAUUCUUUCUGUUGUGGAUGGUUCAUUUUGAAAUCUUUUUUAUAUCUGACAAGACACAAGAAAACAACAAUCUAUCCUGUUAUAUUUACCACUAUCAUCUACAGUGAGUGCUAAGUUGCCCAUAAAUUUUAGUUGACUUCUGUUCAGAGUGAUCUGAAAAAUAGAUAGCAAAAAAGAUUAGUGGGUAUUACAUUUGGAUUAGUUACAUUUGGGCAAAUAAAUGAGUAGAAGUCAAUUUUGUUUGCUUCAUGUUUCACUUCUUUGAUCUCUUCAUCAUUCUCAUUUUGUUUCAUUGCUUACCAUUUGUUCGCAUUUUUUUCUAGCAGUGGCAAGCAUGGUUAGGGCGAGCAACGAGGGUUCCUGUAGUGCAUAACCAUUUCAAGUCGCCCAUGUUCUAAAGAGAGAUCAGAAGUGCCAGCUACUGAAGCAAAAAAAAAGGACCUGAUACACAUUGUAAUCAUGGACUGCUGAUAUACCUGAUGCAUUUCUUCAUGAUGGUCGAUUUCUGUUCACCGGAUCUUACAUGUUUAAUUAUGUGUGCUCGGAACCAAAAACUGAUUGAGAUCUUCAGUUCUUACUUGCAGAUGUUCUGUUAUUCAGAGUAAUUCAGUUUCCAGUCUCUGUGUAUUAAUCAAAUUAUGGGUUAUUUUCAACCAUAUAGGCUUUUAUUAUAUGUUCAGUUAUGCUUCCAUGGGUUUUGCAUAUGUAUUAACAAAACAACCAGACUGCUAUUCUGUAUAUACUUGGAUCAAAGGGUGUACAAUUAAUUUGCUCUUACGAAAGGAAUGAGUAGGCAGAUAGCAGAAUGGGAGGACAAUCAUGACAAGCGAAGGAACACAUAAAUAGUAAUCCCACAAUUUUUACAACUGCAUUCCACUUUAAUUUGUCAUGGACAUGCAUUUUUAUCCUUGGGGUACUUUGGAUUUUAAGUGGGAAUCAUUGGUUCUUUUCUUCUUAAUAUUUUACUUCUUAUAAUUACAAAUACCAAUUUUAGAGAAUUGAGCUCGUACUUAAAAUUCAAUUGAGUAUGAAGCCACUGCCCGUUGUGUGGAAGGAACAAUUAUAACAUUGUACUCUAACAAAUCACACAUAUAGAGAAAUGUUAUUUUCGAGUCUCCUUAACCUAAUGAUCUUUUUUUAGAUAUAUGAAACUUGCAUUUGUUUUCUUAAUUCUUCUGGAAUGCAGGUGAUAUUCCUAAUGGUUGCUGCUGACGCUAAAAAAUUUACUCCUGAAGCACUAGAAGUGCCCUCUCUAUGGCGCAUCACUCACUGGAUCCAGAUGGGCAACAUUCCGCUUAAAGAUUAAAGAGCACCAUUUUUGCAUGCUAUCAUUGCUUAUCCAAGAGUAAUCUACCAUGUGCCUAAUAUAUAUACAUGAUUGUUGCACCAUCACAAGAUUUCCAUUAUAUACAUGGCCAUAACUUUCUUUACUGUGAAUUAAUCGACACGAUGCUUCUGUUUUAAGGAAUGGCAAUGCUAAAUUCUACAGUGGUACUCUCUACUCUGUCGAAUGUUUACAAACACCACAAAGCUAGAGAUCUAUUGUGGAAACCUUUCUUUCUUUUGUUUGUUAUAACUUCUUAGUGUAAAAAUAAAUAUGGCUUGUCCAUUACGAAACAAAUAUGUAAAAUUUAUUACUUUUCAAAGUUGAAUUGUUCCUGACAAUUACACAUGAGAGUGCAUAUAAUUGAGUUGUGCUGACUUGCUGUUUCUAAAAUGAUAAGCUGGAGCUGGAGUUACAUAUGAGAGUAGAGAUAAUUAAGUUGUGCUCCUGACUUGAUUAACAAAAGCUGCAGAAGAAAGGGACAAAAUACCAAAAAGCUGAAAAUUUGAAGAAAGGUGGAAGUAGGGAACUACACAACUUGAUUCAAGGUUACGAAGGGACAAAGGGCAUUGAUUGAGCAGGAGAAAACAAUAAUGGGCCGAGGCAAGGAUAUAGUGCUCAGUUAGUAAAGAGAUAUGUGGGAAGUGGAGCAGCGGGAUGCAAAUGGAAUUUUUGUGACUCGCUGAAGGUGAGCAAAACUUCAGAAAAGAAAUUGCAACAGAAGUAGAGCCUCAUCACCAAGAGAACAUAGGGAUUUUAAGUUUUUUGUAGCCUGCACCGGAGACUGUAGAGUUAAGUUUCUACAUCUCAGUGUACAGUUUAACUAUAUCAGGUUAUUUACUAUGUAGUAAAUAUUUGCUUUUGCCAUUGCUGAUCAUGUCCUUCUCUUUGUGCUUGGAAGCAUAAACUUACUUAGUGAUCCUUUUCUGUUAGGCUAAACUUACAUCCUUCUGCUAAUAGUUUAGUGAUCUAAUGAUUGUAAUGAUUAUUCAAAAGGGACGUUGCAUGUUCCUAGAUGCAUA
rnacentral:rRNA from 1 species